rnacentral:tRNA from 1 species
AGAGUUAAUUAAACAUUAGAUUACUGAGUAGCUCUCUGUGUCCUGGGAUAGGGUCUACUC